rnacentral:rRNA from 1 species
UACGUAGGGUGCAAGCGGUGUUCGGAAUUACUGGGCGUAAAGCGGGUGUAGGCGGAUUCCUCAGUCGGGAGUGAAAGCCCAGGGCUCAACCCUGGAAUUGCCUUCGAUACUGGCAGUCUCGAGUGCAGGAGAGGUGAGCGGAAUUCCUAGUGUAGAGGUGAAAUUCGUAGAUAUUCGGAGGAACACCAGAGGAGAAGGCGGCUCACUGGACUGUUACUGACGCUGAGGCUCGAAAGCGUGGGGAGCAAACAGG